GGAAGGAAUACAUUCUCCUAAGAUGGGAGCAAGAAUUGUAGACCACCCUCAGAAGGGACAAAGCAAAGUGGCUGUUAUGGAUGCUUAUACAUGCAGCAGGCUGCAUUUAUGGAAGAACCCUGAGCUUGGGGUGUUCUCCGCUUGAAUAGUGAGCAAAAGCAAGCCUACCCUUCGCUUCGCUGGAAAUAUUACCUAAUUCCUCAAAGUAGCUUGCUGCAAAUCCACCCUGAGAAAUGACCAGAGCAAAGAAUGAUCAGGUCGGGAUCUUGUCUUCUUGUUACAUACAGCAAGAAUAUGCACAGCCACUUAGGGCUGACGGCAGAUCACCUCUCACAAAAGGUAUACAUGAAUGCUGUUGGGUUUUAUGUUCUUGUCUUGUAUGGAGAAAAUUUAUUGAACUCAUUAUUUUGAAUAAGGUACAACCAUUAUUUCCUUUGAAUAUAUAUUUUUAAAACGUAUAAGUCUGUGUGCUCAAAUAACAUGACCAAAUUUACCAAGAUAGUAAAUCCCAUAUCUGGAACUUAAACCCUGGUAUUUUAAUUUCAAAUGCUUUACCCUUUCUUUGUCACCAUGCUAACCAAGACAAAUUAUAUGUCUAUUUUAUUUGAAAAUACAGUUUUAUAAUAGC
rnacentral:lncRNA from 1 species